rnacentral:rRNA from 1 species
CAGCCGCGCGGUAAUACGUAGGGUGCGAGCGUUAAUCGGAUUUACUGGGCGUAAAGCGUGCGCAGGCGGCCCGUUAAGACAGGUGUGAAAUCCCUGGGCUCAACCUAGGAAUUGCGCUUGUGACUGGCGGGCUCGAGUACGGUAGAGGGGGGUGGAAUUCCUGGUGUAGCAGUGAAAUGCGUAGAGAUCAGGAGGAACACCGAUGGCGAAGGCAGCCCCCUGGGCCUGUACUGACGCUCAUGCACGAAAGCGUGGGGAGCAAACAGGAUUAGAUACCCUGGUAGUCCACGCCCUAAACGAUGGGUACUAGCCGUUUGGUGCGCGAUAGCGCUGAGUGGCGAAGCUAACGCGUGAAGUACCCCGCCUGGGGAGUACGGCCGCAAGGUUGAAACUUAAAGGAAUUGGCGGG